rnacentral:rRNA from 1 species
GCUGCCGCGGUAAUUCCGGCUCCAAUAGCGUAUAUUAAAGUUGUUGCAGUUAAAAAGCUCGUAGUUGAAUUUCGGGAUCUAUCCAUCGGUCGGGCCUCACGGUCCGCACUGGUGUGAUGGAUUCCUACCUUCUGAAUAACCGGUAUGCCAUUAAUUUGAUGUGCCGGGGAAGCAGAACCAUUACCUUGAAAAAAUUAGAGUGCUCAAAGCAGGCUUGUGCCUGAAUACAUUAAUAAAAUAGGACGGCAUGGUUGGUUUCUAGGAUCACCGUAAUGAUUAAUAGGGAUAGUUGGG